AGGGAAUAUUGCGCAAUGGAGGAAACUCUGACGCAGCGACGCCGCGUGGGUGAUGAAGGUCUUCGGAUCGUAAAGCCCUGUCGGAAGGGACGAAAAACGAGCGUGAUAAUACCGCGCUCGCUUGACGGUACCUUCAAAGGAAGCACCGGCUAACUACGUGCCAGCAGCCGCGGUAAUACGUAGGGUGCAAGCGUUGUUCGGAAUCAUUGGGCGUAAAGCGCGUGUAGGUGGCUAGUUAAGUCGGGUGUGAAAUCCCUGGGCUCAACCGAGGAAGUGCAUCCGAAACUAAUUAGCUAGAGAGUGGUAGAGGAAGGUGGAAUUCCGUGUGUAGAGGUGAAAUUCGUAGAUAUACGGAGGAAUACCGGUGGCGAAGGCGGCCUUCUGGACCAUUUCUGACACUGAGACGCGAAAGCGUGGGGAGCAAACA
rnacentral:rRNA from 1 species